rnacentral:rRNA from 1 species
AUGUCGUCUGCUAACCGAGGUUCAGUUGCUUAUAACAAGAAUAACGGAGAUGGUAGGGACGAGGAUCCUCCUGACCAGCCUUUGAUAACAGAGUUCUUGUUAACGUCCGAGAGGAACAAGCGUGAGACUAACCGCUUGCUGGCACAGAUUGAGCAGAACACCGCACAUCAGCAUAAGAAGUUGGUUUCCAUCACUGACUUCAUUGGUCUGAAACCACCCACCUUUCAUCAUUCCAUUGAGCCACUCGAUGCAGAUAACUGGCUCCGAAGCAUCACUCACAAGUUGCUUUCUGCGAACGUGGCUGAAGGUGACAAGGUCACCUAUGCUACCUAUCACCUGGAAGGUCCUACUAGUAUUUGA